UACGAAGGGGGCUAGCGUUGUUCGGAUUUACUGGGCGUAAAGCGCACGUAGGCGGUUUGUUAAGUCAGGGGUGAAAUCCCGGAGCUCAACUCCGGAACUGCCUUUGAUACUGGCAAGCUAGAGUCCGGAAGAGGUAAGUGGAACUCCUAGUGUAGAGGUGGAAUUCGUAGAUAUUAGGAAGAACACCAGUGGCGAAGGCGGCUUACUGGUCCGGAACUGACGCUGAGGUGCGGAAAGCGUGGGGGAGCAAACAGG
rnacentral:rRNA from 1 species